UGUGUAAUAUGAAAACAACUUCGGUCGGUCGGCGCUCGGUGACGGUGGGCCGGCUGCAAUAUCCCGCGUCCCUUGUGUCCGGUUGCGGGUUAUCCGAAAAUUUCAAUAACAAUUAUUAUCAUCAUUAUUAUUAUUAUUAUCAUUGUUCGCGCCUGACUCGACAACGCAGACAAGCAAACGCACUCAAAGUGACGACUCCGCAAAGUUUCGUAUUAUUAUACAAUUGCGCAGAAAAGUAUGCGACCGCAGAUUCGUCCUAGUCCGUAACU